rnacentral:rRNA from 1 species
CUACGUGCCAGCAGCCGCGGUAAUACGGAGGAUGCGAGCGUUAUCCGGAUUUAUUGGGUUUAAAGGGUGCGUAGGCGGCCUGUUAAGUCAGUGGUGAAAGUUUGUCGCUCAACGAUAAAAUUGCCGUUGAAACUGGUGGUCUUGAGUAUGGAUGAAGUAGGCGGAAUGCGUGGUGUAGCGGUGAAAUGCAUAGAGAUCACGCAGAACUCCGAUUGCGAAGGCAGCUUACUAAGGCAUAACUGACACUGAAGCACGAAAGCGUGGGUAUCAAACAGGAUUAGAUACCCUGGUAGUCCACGCAGUAAACGAUGAUUACUAGGAGUUUGCGAUAUAGUGUAAGCUCUACAGCGAAAGCGUUAAGUAAUCCACCUGGGGAGUACGCCGGCAACGGUGAAACUCAAAGGAAUUGACGGGGGCCCGCACAAGCGGAGGAACAUGUGGUUUAAUUCGAUGAUACGCGAGGAACCUUACCCGGGAUUGAAAU